CCAACAUAUUUCACCCUAAUUAUUCACUUUAUUCCUCCAUGAUUCUCUUAAUUAGCCUCCAUGCUCCCAGAGCAUGGAAUCCACAUGGCCAACACUUGACCCACUGGCAGGACUGAGCCUCCUAAGUUCAACUUCAAGGAAGCCUGGAAUCCCCCUAUCCCUUUCUCUGCUUGGGUGUAUGACCUCCGGAUACUUUCCUGCUCCUAGAGGUGAGGGCAGUGGGAACUUUGGAGGGGAAUCAUAAGGUUUAGAGAUAGGAGGAGAAGCAGUGCUCAUAGGUGCCCACUCCCCCAUUUUUGAUAGAUGAGGAAACAGGUCCAAGACAGGUCCCAGAGAGGGGUAGAAGCCUGCCCAAGGUCACAAAAUAGAUCCAAGAUUUAAGCCUAGACCUCAACUCCAAGUUCAGAGUUCUUUUGACAACAAUACUUGCCCUGUGGUGUUGGGGCUGGUAUUCAAGCAAGGAAGAUACCUCAGGUUUUCCCCAACUCUGGGGUAUCUUGGAAAUACCUGCAGCGAAGAGACAAUCCAACACCCUAGAAUGGACACUCUUUGAGGGCAAGGCCUGGGGCUGUUCCUUCUCUGUCUCUCCCACUGAAGAGCUUGGCUUCUAGGGGGAGAGUGGCCAUAAAAAUGCACACUGACUGAUCUACUUUGAUGACUUUUCCAGGCAUCAUAUUUUAGGGUGAUGUUGGCAAACUAGAGAGAAUCAAUAUGGUGUAUUGACCAGCCUUGGAACAGGAAAAAUAUAGCUUUAUAGCCUGCUUCUGACAAGCAUUAGCUGUUUGGCUGUGGUCAAAUCACUUAACCUCUCAGUGCCCCAAGAAACUUUCUAAGAUUCUAAGUUACAAAAGAACUUGCAAACUGCAUCAGUGGAGGGUAUUUACACACUAAGAGUUUUCAAUGCUAAUGAAAUUGAAGACCUGGACCCUCUCCUAUCCUCCCCCAGCCGGUGACCAAAUUUGAGCAGCUUGAGCAUGAAUUCUCAAUAGAUUCCAAUUACUUAGUGAAUAGGUCAGUUUGAUUAGCGUAUCAUGCAUGCAGAGAGGAGAGAUUGUGAGAUACGUCUGGAAAAGUAAGGUGGUAUUAGAUUUUCUAAAGCCUUGAAUGCCAGUCACAGAAUUGUGGACUUUAUCCUUUAGACAAUGGAAAAACCAUUGAAGGUUCAUUAUCCAGGGAAUAAUAUAGUCAGAUGAGGGCAACUAGGAAGAAGGUGGCCAGGAUGGUGAGGUUGCUGGAGACCAGAG
rnacentral:lncRNA from 1 species